rnacentral:rRNA from 1 species
UAAUACGAGGGUGCAAGCGUUAAUCGGAAUUACUGGGCGUAAAGCGCACGCAGGCGGUUUGUUAAGUCAGAUGUGAAAUCCCCGGGCUCAACCUGGGAACUGCAUUUGAAACUGGCAAGCUAGAGUCUCGUAGAGGGGGGGUAGAAUUCCAGGUGUAGCGGUGAAAUGCGUAGAGAUCUGGAGGAAUACCGGUGGCGAAGGCGGCCCCCUGGACGAAGACUGACGCUCAGGUGCGAAAGCGUGGGGAGCAAACAGGAUUAGAUACCCUGGUAGUCCACGCUGUAAACGAUGUCGAUUUGGAGGUUGUGCCCUUGAGGCGUGGCUUCCGGAGCUAACGCGUUAAAUCGACCGCCUGGGGAGUACGGCCGCAAGGUU